AUGGAUGAUAUAGCAGUUCCAAUUGCGUCCACGUCGGGCGAAGAUUCAGUAAUCUCGUUUCAGCACCCAUGGACAUUAAAGGUUUGCCAGAGACAAAUCGAGGACGAGACAAUUUUGUUAAAUGUAUCACGACCGUUUUCCACGUCAUACAAGCAUGUGCAGUUUACAUGGGCUCUGCGGUUGACCGAUGAGUAUGUGCUCUCAAAUAAUGCAGCCGUCGACUCGAAUCGCCACGUGCUCCUGCACCUUUACUACAAAGAGGGUCCAUGCCCGGAGGUGGCCGUCGAGGAGGUCAGAGCACAGAUCCUUGAUCCAGUCACCAAUGAGACCUUGUUCGCCGGUCUGGCGUUGUCGCCGACCGAGUUUUCGCGGGGAAGCGGUUGGCCGAUCCAUAUGGAGAAGGAGCGACGGGCAGAGUUUACCGAGUUGGUGCACAAGAAGGUGGAUUCGAAUUUGUUGGUCGUGGUUGAGAUCAAGAUGAAGGAGUCGCUGUUCGAGCCAUUGAACUAUCUGCCGGAUGUUGAGACGGCGUUUAGGAGCCAGAGAAUCGAGAAGGCGGUGAACAAGUUUGUUGAUGAUGUUAUCAAUGGAAAGAUUCGGAUUCCUGAUUUGGAGCACGUCGAUGAAAAGGCUGACAAAUUCUCGGUUCACCGGCUGAUUUUCAUUUAUGGCGUCGACUCGGUAUCGCGCGAGAUAUCGGACAACGAGCAACAAAGCGAAAUCUGUGAGCAACUCGUGAGAAAUACCUUUGCUCACAUCUACUUCGAACGGGUGCUCUCCCGAGAAAUCACGUACUUUGAUGAUUUUGUCACCCUCGUCGAGGGUCUCACCUUUGCUCAUCUCCCAGCUCUUCGGAAGGAAGUAGAACGAUUUAUUUGCCAAAAAGUUAUCGAGGCUGAUAUGGAUCCAUCGUUCGCUAAAAAGCUACUACUGGUUUCUGAGAAGUACAACUUGGAGAUUUUGAAGAUGGUGAUCAACGGGUUCCUUGUCGAUCAAAUCAUUGGAAACUCGAACCCGCCAAAAGAGCUCGUCAACAUUACACAUGAGCUCCAACAGAUGGCCCAUGAGAUCCGCGAAAACGAGAAUAUCGAGAAUCUUGUCGGAGCAGUCGUAACAGAUCUUCAGGAGCUCACACGUCGAGUCCGUCGGGUAUCGCUCUCCCACAGUCCAUCACAAUCGUCCCAUAGCAGGUGAGUCGUGAAAUUCACAUGAAAAUCUUGCCACUAAAUUGUUUUGUUUCAUCUCUCUCUCUUGAGAAAGAAAUCAAAGAUUGACGGGAAACAGAUAUGGCACACUGAUAAUUGAAACGACGAUUCGCAAUAAUAAUGGAAGAAAAAAAGAUAAUGGACGUUAAUGGACAAAAAACAUUGACAACAAAACUUUCGCUCUCCCCUCGCUACCCCAACAAAUGGAAGUGGUUCUCCAUCGGUUCCGGCUCCAUUCGACUCCCCGACAAGCCGCUUCAAACGAGUUUCCCUGGCCUAA
rnacentral:misc_RNA from 1 species